rnacentral:sRNA from 1 species
UGACAGUCAAUUUGGUUUCCGUCGAUGG